GGAAGGCAGGGAUUUCAACCUGGGCAACAAGUCCACAGAACAUGAGAUUUCUGAAGGUGUGUGGGAUACAUCAUGGUUACAUAAAAAUCCUUUCACUAUAGUUCCUGCUUCCCUAUCUUCAAAAUGAUUCCCUGAAGACUUCCGCCAUGACGGUCUAAAGCCUAACCUCUGAACUGUGGAUGGAAAAUUGAACUCCUUGAUGUGAUCUCUGCACA
rnacentral:lncRNA from 1 species